GAACUUCCUGCUCUGAGGACCUCAAUUUCCCCAUGUCACCCUGGUUGUCCUGGGGGGUAACGUGAAGAUGCAGGAAGAGGAGAGUGCUGGGCGUCCCAUCUACAAUCCCAACCAGGCUUCCCUAGCUCCAUCUCGGCUCCCGCCGCGCUCUCAGAGCUGAAGUCCAGAAGACAUGAGAGUCACCCCUGCUUCCUGCGCUGGCCGCUCCCCACAGGCCACCCAUCACCAAGACCUGGCGGGUCCCCUCCAAACAUGCCCGAGCCCGCGCUCGGCCGCCUCCCUGCCUUGCCACCCUCUCUUGUUCCCACCCCUGCCCCUCCUCCCCAGGGAGCAAUGAUGAGUCAGGCGCCAUGACGGUGGUCGGGUCACCCCCCUGUGUGAAACCCGCGGCAUCAAGCCUAGUGCAAACUCCGCCCGCGAGGCCCUCUUCUUCUCCUUCCUACAGAGCCCCAGUCCCACGGCUCUCAGUUCUGCUCCUUAAAUACUCUGAGUGCCACUGAGUUCCUGCUUCAGUCUAUGCUUAAGCCGUUCAUUCCUCUACGUUCUCAGGGCUGGUUUCCUCUCGUCUGGCAGGUCUCACCAGUAUUUGAAGCUUCGUUCUUAUCUUCUUGCAAUUCUUUCCUGCAGUCAUUAGUUUGAUGUUAUGUUAAAGGGACGUGUCUUGGACAGGAUGGGGAUGAAGAAGCUGGUGGAUGAUUGGAAGCUUUUGGAAGAGGGGAGAGGCACUCUUCAUGAAAAUGAAUGGUUUGCCAAGUAGUCAUCCAUUAAACUAUCCUGUCUCUC